rnacentral:rRNA from 1 species
GACGAACGCUGGCGGCGUGCUUAACACAUGCAAGUCGAACGGAAAGGCCCUUUUGGGGGUACUCGAGUGGCGAACGGGUGAGUAACACGGGAGUAACCUGCCCUUGCCUUCGGGUUAACUUCAGGAAACUGGGGCUAAUACCGGAAAGGAAUCCUUGCUGCUUGGGGGGGGUUGGAAAGCUUCGGCGGUUUUGGAUGGAUUCGCGGCGUAUCAGCUUGUUGGUUGGGUGGUGGCUUACCAAGGCUUUGACGGGUAGCCGGCCUGAGGGGGCGACCGGCCACCUUGGGACUGAGAGACGGCCCCGGCUCCGACGGGUGGCAGAAGUGGGGAAGAUUGAACAAUGGGCGGAAGCCUGAUGCAGCAACGCCGCGUGCGGGAUGGCGGCCUUGGGGUUGUAGACAGGUUUCAGCAGGGGCGAAGCUUGUGGUGACGGUACCUGCAGAAGAAGCACCGGCUAACUACGUG